AGAGUUUGAUCAUGGCUCAGAACGAACGCUGGCGGCGUGGAUAAGACAUGCAAGUCGAACGGGAUUAUUUUUGUAGCAAUACAGAAAUAAUUCAGUGGCGAACGGGUGCGUAACACGUGGGCAAUCUGCCGAAAAGUGGGGGAUAGCUCGCCGAAAGGCGAAUUAAUACCGCAUGUGGUGAGGGACGACAUCUUCCUGAAUCCAAAGCCGGGGCAACCUGGCGCUUUUUGAGGAGCCCGCGGCCUAUCAGCUAGUUGGCGGGGUAACGGCCCACCAAGGCUAUGACGGGUAGCUGGUCUGAGAGGACGACCAGUCACACUGGAACUGAGACACGGUCCAGACACCUACGGGUGGCAGCAGUCGAGAAUUUUUCUCAAUGGGGGAAACCCUGAAGGAGCGACGCCGCGUGGAGGAUGAAGGCUUUCGGGUUGUAAACUCCUGUCAUUUGAGAACAAGGUGCGAGUAUUAACUGUACUCGCAUUGAUAGUAUCAGAAGAGGAAGGGACGGCUAACUCUGUGCCAGCAGCCGCGGUAAUACAGAGGUCCCAAGCGUUGUUCGGAUUCAUUGGGCGUAAAGGGUGCGUAGGUGGCGCCGUAAGUCGGGUGUGAAAUUUCGGAGCUUAACUCCGAAACUGCAUUCGAUACUGCGGUGCUUGAGGACUGGAGAGGAGACUGGAAUUCAUGGUGUAGCAGUGAAAUGCGUAGAGAUCAUGAGGAAGACCAGUGGCGAAGGCGGGUCUCUGGACAGUUCCUGACACUGAGGCACGAAGGCCAGGGGAGCAAACGGGAUUAGAUACCCCAGUAGUCC
rnacentral:rRNA from 1 species